rnacentral:rRNA from 1 species
GACGAACGCUGGCGGCGUGCUUAACACAUGCAAGUCGAACGGUGAUGCUCCAGCUUGCUGGAGUGGAUCAGUGGCGAACGGGUGAGUAACACGUGAGCAACCUGCCCCAGACUCUGGAAUAAGCGCUGGAAACGGCGUCUAAUACUGGAUACGAAACUGGCCCGCAUGGGCAUGGUUUGGAAAGUUUUUCGGUUUGGGAUGGGCUCGCGGCCUAUCAGCUUGUUGGUGAGGUAAUGGCUCACCAAGGCGACGACGGGUAGCCGGCCUGAGAGGGCGACCGGCCACACUGGGACUGAGACACGGCCCAGACUCCUACGGGAGGCAGCAGUGGGGAAUAUUGCACAAUGGGCGAAAGCCUGUUGCAGCGACGCCGCGUGAGGGAUGACGGCCUUCGGGUUGUAAACCUCUUUCAGCAGGGAAGAAGCGAAAGUGACGGUACCUGCAGAAGAAGCACCGGCUAACUACGUG